GGGUCUGUAGCUCAACUGGUAGAGCAGCUCCCUCUUAAGGAGAAGGUUGCGCGUUCGAUUCGCGCCAGACCCA
rnacentral:tRNA from 1 species